rnacentral:rRNA from 1 species
AUUGAACGCUGGCGGCAUGCCUUACACAUGCAAGUCGAACGGUGACGAGGAGCUUGCUCCUCUGAUCAGUGGCGAACGGGUGAGUAACACGUGAGCAACCUGCCCCAGACUCUGGGAUAACAGUUGGAAACAGCUGCUAAUACCGGAUACGAGACGGAGAGGCAUCUCUACCGUCUGGAAAGUUUUUCGGUCUGGGAUGGACUCGCGGCCUAUCAGCUAGUUGGUGAGGUAAUGGCUCACCAAGGCGACGACGGGUAGCCGGCCUGAGAGGGCGACCGGCCACACUGGGACUGAGACACGGCCCAGACUCCUACGGGAGGCAGCAGUGGGGAAUAUUGCACAAUGGGCGAAAGCCUGAUGCAGCGACGCCGCGUGAGGGAUGAAGGCCUUCGGGUCGGUAAGACUCUGUCCUCAAGGAAGAUAAUGACGGUACUUGAGGAGGGAAGGCCCCGGCCUAACCUACGUGCCACGCAGCCGCGG